rnacentral:antisense_RNA from 1 species
CUGCUGUUACCGCCCUUGGUUCAUGGCUUCUUUCACUUGGAAACCCCAGGAGCUAAGUUCCUGUUGACGAGGCGGCCCAGCUCCCCAGGAGUGGCUGUGUUCCGGAUAUCCACAUCGUGGGGCGACACAUAAAGCUUUGUGUCAUUCAAGUCAAAGAACUCGACUUCUGUGAGACCCACCCACCACGAGUUGCCCCAGUUGGACAGGAUCUCCAUGGUCACGUAGAUGGCAUCUUUGAUCUCGUCUGCCCUCAUUCUCUGUUUGUCCUUAAAGAAGAGAAAAAUAACACCAAAGGAUUAAGUCAUGACAGGCUUGAAUUCGGCUCUGCCUCUGCCACCACUGCCUUCAAAAAGUUAGUUAACCUUCAGGGUCUCAGUCUCUCCAUCUGUACACUGAGGAUAAGAAUAGCACCCACUACCUAUGGUUAUUACAAUGAUUAAAUGCAUUCAUACUGUAAAGCAUUCAAAAUAGAGGCCCUGUGUAACUGGCACUGUGUGAGCAUUCUGUUUGAAAGUUUACAAAUAAAUAAAAAUGUCUAAAAAGCAUUGAA